ensembl:lncRNA
GACUAUUCAAGGUUGAUUUUCUUUGGGGGAUGGUCUGUGACAAUUUGUGAUGGUUGUGCCUUACCACUCAAGCCAGAGUUCUACACUUUGCUCACCUGGGGUCCUUAGAAGCUGUUAUUUUAACCAUCCUUCCUGAGACCAAGGGGACAUUCUCCCUUAGGAGAGCUGGAGUUUGCUAGCACUUUCUCUCCUCUGCCUAUCUAUAAUUUAAGUAUUCUGUUACUGAGUGCCCACCCUCCAGACAUCUUCAAGUAACUAAGUGAAGUAAAAUUCUGAUACUUAAUUUAUUAAGAUACUGCAUGGCUUUCUCUGAGUUACAGAGUGAUGCUAGGAAACUGCUCAACUCUCUAAAAGCUAGGACUAUGUCACAAACAAUUGCUUAAGAAACUCCUAUGAUGGACCAAGCUCCUGUGCCUGUCUGCCGUUGGAAGUUGCCAAAGAAAGAGUGUAAGAUCUGCAUCUAUUUAUAAAACGAAGCAUGGAUGGUGUGGGUAUUGUACUGAGUGGAUUAGAACUUCAAAUGCUGCAAAGAUACAAAAGUGCUUUACUGUAAAAUCCAAGACACAGCUGGUACAGACUUCACCUGCAAUGCAGGAGACCUGGGUUCGAUCCCUGGGUUUUGAAGAUCUCCUGGAGGAGGGAAUGACUACCCGUUCCAGUAUUCUGGCCUGGAGAAUUCUGUGGACUGUAAAG